AUACGUAGGGGGCGAGCGUUGUCCGGAAUGAUUGGGCGUAAAGGGCGCGUAGGCGGCCCGGUAAGUCUGGAGUGAAAGUCCUGUUUUUAAGAUGGGAAUUGCUUUGGAUACUGUCGGGCUUGAGUGCAGGAGAGGUAAGUGGAAUUCCCAGUGUAGCGGUGAAAUGCGUAGAGAUUGGGAGGAACACCAGUGGCGAAGGCGACUUACUGGACUGUAACUGCCGCUGAGGCGCGAAAGUGUGGGGAGCAAACAGGAUUAGAUACCCUGGUAGUCCACACUGUAAACGAUGAAUGCUAGGUGUAGGGGGUAUCGACCCCUUCUGUGCCGCAGUCAACACAAUAAGCAUUCCGCCUGGGGAGUACGGCCGCAAGGUUGAAACUCAAAUGAAUUGACGGGG
rnacentral:rRNA from 1 species